UAAUCCUUAGUCUUAUAAUUUAAGACUGGGAUGAAGGGGUAAACCAGGAAGUUUCCUUUCUUAGUUUUUCCUUUUGAAUUUUACUUUUUAGUAAAAAGGCUUAAAAUAUUUCUUUCAGACAAGAAGACCCUAUAAAGCUUUACAUAUAAUAAUCUAAAAAAUUAGGAAUAUGUUUCACUGGGGCGGUGGAAAGAUAAACACUUUUAGAGGGCUAAAAUAGAAUUAUUUUAAUACCCAAAAAUUUUGAAGCUUAAAUAAGUUACUUUAGGGAUAACAGCGUAAUGUGUUUCGAAAGCUCAAAUUGACAAAUAUGUUUGCGACCUCGAUGUUGGAUUAAGCUUCCACUAUUCCGCAAGAGGAAUAAAUGGGGGCUGUCGACCCAAAAACCCCA
rnacentral:rRNA from 1 species